rnacentral:rRNA from 1 species
UAAUACAGAGGUCUCGAGCGUUAAUCGGAGUUACUGGGCUUAAAGGGUGCGUAGGCGGCGCUGUAAGUGCUUUGUGAAAUCCCAUGGCUUAACCAUGGAAUUGCUCGGCAGACUGCAGUGCUUGAGGUCGGUAGGGGUCGCUGGAACUCUAGGUGGAGCGGUGAAAUGCGUAGAUAUCUAGAGGAACGCCAAAGGUGUAGACAGGCGACUGGGCCGAUUCUGACGCUGAGGCACGAAAGCGUGGGUAGCGAACGGGAUUAGAUACCCCGGUAGUCCACGCCCUAAACGAUGUGUACUAGAUCGUGGAGGCUCUGACGCCCCCAUGGUCGAAGCUAAAGUGCUAAGUACACCGCCUGGGGAGUACGGUCGCAAGGCUA